GAUGAACGCUGGCGGUAGGCCUAACACAUGCAAGUCGAACGGCAGCACAGUAAUAGCUUGCUGUUACGGGUGGCGAGUCGCGGACGGGUGAGGAAUACAUCGGAACCUACUCUUUCGUGGGGGGUAACGAAGGGAAACUUACGCUAAUACCGCAUACAACCUACCGGUGAAAGCAGUGGAUCUUCGUACCUUGCGCGAUUGAAUGAGCGGAUGUCGGAUUAGCUAGUUGGCGGGGUACAGGCCCACCAAGGCGACGAUCCGUAGCUGAUCUGAGAGAAUGAUAGGCGACACUGGAACAGAGACACCGGCCAGACUGCUACGGGGGGACGCAGUGGGCAAUAUCGGACAACAGGCGUAAGCAUGAUCCAGCCAUACGGCGUGGGUGGAGGAGGCCUUGGCGUUGGAAAGCCGUAUUGCUGGGAGUGAAGAGCUGCAGGUUACGACGAAGCUGUAACGACGGUACCUGAAGAAUAAGCACCGGCUAACUCCGUG
rnacentral:rRNA from 1 species